GCACGCCGAAACAAAACACACGCACACAAACAAACAUGGAAACCGAAUGCCAAUCGCUGGACUUACAUCAGACUCUGAACCAAACAAACCCACACUGGAAACCAAAUGCCAAAUGCUGGACUUAUAUCGGACUCCAAGCACACAACAAUAAGAUACGGAAUGCCAAUCGCUGGUCUUACAUCCAUCUCCUAACACACACAAGAAAGGGUAACAAACAAACAAGUUACUAAGGAGUCUGGCACUCGAGCCUAG
rnacentral:lncRNA from 1 species